AACAAGCUGAAACUCCUGGAAAAGAGUCAGAAAUGUCAUACAGAGGGCUCACUCCCCCUAGGGGCACUAGCCUGCAAGCCAGCAGACCCAUAUCCAGAAAAGAAAGCCUUCAUCCUAGUGGGAAGCUCUGCAGGAACCCCUAAAGCUUGAAACUGAACCAGCCUUAUCUGUUAACAGGCUUCACCCCACCCCCACCCCCACCCUAUUGGUUUCCGCAGGCAGUCGCGACUUCUCUAAAGUCUAGUUUCUCAGGACAGUGGAAGCUUAAAGCUUGAUCCUGACACCAUGUGGGCUCUUAUCUUCUGGCUUCUGAGUCACCCCCAGGACGGCGGAGCCCGGUCGCACUCUCUGCAUUACUGUUACUCAGCUGUGACUGAGCCGGGCCCGGGAGUUCCUUCAUUUUUCGCCAGUGGCUUCUUAGAUAACCAGCCCUUCAUCCACUACGACAGCAGGAGCAUGAAGGCAGAGCCUUGUGCUGACUGGCUGAGGGAAAAUGCACAGUACUUCACUCAUGAGACUGAGGUUUUCACCAAUCGGAUGAAGAUUUUCCAGUUGAGCCUGAGAAACAUUCGGCAAUACUACAACAGCUCUGGUACCCAGAGUCAGAGAGCAGAUGGCUUCCGCCAGCAAGCAGGCCCUCACACCCUCCAGUUCACAUACGGCUGUGAGAUGCGGUACAACAGGACCACAGGGCAUUGGCAGUAUGGCUACGAUGGCAGUGAUUACCUGACCUUGGACUUGGGCUCUAUGCAAUAUAUAGCAGCCACCUUCAUUGCUGGCUACACCAAGCGCAAGUGGGAAAACAAUGAGUACUGGCUGGAGAAAGAGAAGACCUACUUGGAGAAGGAGUGCAUCCUAUGGCUGCAGAGAUACUUAACCAUGGGAGGAAAGAACUUUACCCGAACUGACCCUCCAAAGACAACAGUGACUCAUCAGUUCAAACCUAAAGAAAACGUCACCCUGAGGUGCUGGGCCCUGGGCUUCUACCCUGCUGACAUCACCCUGACCUGGCAGUUGAAUGGAGAGGAGCUGACCCAGGACACGGAGCUUGUGGAGACGAGGCCUUCAGGGGAUGGGACAUUCCAGAAGUGGGCAGCUGUGGUGGUGCCUUCUGGAGAGGAGCAGAGAUACACAUGUCAUGUGCAACAUGAGGCACUAACGCAGCCCCUUGUUCUGAAAUGGGAGCCUCUUCAGCUCACCACGCCCACGACAGGAGUAUAUGCUAGGGGAAGCUGUAGUCCUCAAGCAACCUUGCUGAGUGUCCUUGCGUUUCCUUUAUUUGGCAUAGUACUUGUGUUUGGACUUACCCGCUACAAAACUCAGGUCAGAAGAAAGAACUGGCCUGCUCCAUCUGUUCCUGAAGAAGAGAGGCUCUAGGACAGGACCCAGGGACAAUGUAAAUAGUUUACAGCUCAAGGCAGACCUGGCCAUGAUCCUCAGAGGACACAGGUUUCAGUGAAGAGCCUGGGCUACGCUUGCUUAUAUUGUGCCCCCUCAGGGAAACCCCAGUCCGUCCAUGGCCUCUGGACAGCUACAUGUUUCCAGCUUCAGAAUGGAAUUGGCAUCAUGUCUGGGUGGCUCUGAAAGUUCUUAGCUUGAGACACUGUCCUCCACCACCAAAGCUAACAGCUUAGUAUGUUCUCUGAUCCGAACCUCUUCUCUCUCAAAUACUGGGUAGCCUGCUUCUUCUGUAAUGCUAGCACUUCUAUGUCACCCGUUCUUCUCAGCUGUCCCAGAUGUCCUCCCCUACUUUACAUCCCACUUGCAAGUCCCAGUGCCCAUAUAAAGUAACACUGUGCUGGGGAAUUUUUUUUUGUUUUGUUUUUUCGAGACAGGGUUUCUCUGUGUAGUCCUGGCUGUCCUGGAACUCGCUCUGUAGACCAGGCUGGCCUCGAACUCAGAAAUCCGCCUGCCUCUGCCUCCCAAGUGCUGGGAUUAAAGGCGUGCGCCACCAUGCCCGGCAUGUGCUGGGGAAUUUUAUGUCAACUUGACACAGGCUAGAGCCAUCUGACAGGAGGGGACCUCAAUUGAGAAAAUGCCUCCGUACAAUCAGGCUGCAAGCAAGCCUGAAAGACAUUUUACUAAUUACUGAUUGAUGGGGAGGGCCCAGGCCAUUGUGGGUGGGGCCAUCCCUGGGCCAGUCCUGGGUUCCAUAAGAAAGCAGGCUGAGCAAGCUACGGUGAAAAAGCCAGUAUGCAGCACCUCGAAUGCCUCUGUAUCAGCUCCCGCCUCCAGGUUCCGGUCCUGCUUGAGUUCCUGCCCUCAGUGCUCUUGAUGAUGAUCUGUUAUUUUUAAGUGUGAGUGAAAUAAACUCUAACCAAGCCAAA